rnacentral:misc_RNA from 1 species
GUUUCCGUAGGUGAACCUGCGGAAGGAUCAUUAUUGUAUAACCGAGGUGCGAGGGCUGUCGCUGACCCGAAAGGUCGUGCACGCCCGAGUGCCCUCACACACAUCCAUCUCACCCCUAUGUGCACCACCGCGUGGGACCCCCUUUGGCUUGUUCGGAGGGGGGCUUACGUUUUCACACAAACUUUGUAUGCAGUGUAGAAUGUAUUUUUUGUUUUUGCGAUCACGCAAUCAAUACAACUUUCAACAACGGAUCUCUUGGCUCUC